rnacentral:tRNA from 1 species
GGGCAGGUACCCAAGUGGCCAAAGGGGACAGACUGUAAAUCUGUUGCACUACGUGCUUCAGGGGUUCAAAUCCUCUCCUGCCCACCA